rnacentral:rRNA from 1 species
UUAGUGGCAGACGGGUGAGUAAUGCGUAGGAAUCUACCUAGUAGUAUGGAAUAGCCAUUAGAAAUGAUGGGUAAUACUGUAUAAUCCCUGCGGGGGAAAGAUUUAUCGCUAUUAGAUGAGCCUACGUUAGAUUAGCUAGUUGGUAAGGUAAUGGCUUACCAAGGCUAUGAUCUAUAGCUGGUCUGAGAGGACGAUCAGCCACACUGGAACUGAGAUACGGUCCAGACUCCUACGGGAGGCAGCAGUGGGGAAUAUUGGACAAUGGGCGAAAGCCUGAUCCAGCUAUGCCGCGUGAGUGAAGAAGGCCUUCGGGUUGUAAAGCUCUUUCAAUAGGGAAGAUAAUGACGGUACCUAUA